AGACCCGAAACCCGGUGAUCUAGCCAUGGGCAGGUUGAAGGUUGGGUAACACUAACUGGAGGACCGAACCGACUAAUGUUGAAAAAUUAGCGGAUGACCUGUGGCUGGGGGUGAAAGGCCAAUCAAACCGGGAGAUAGCUGGUUCUCCCCGAAAGCUAUUUAGGUAGCGCCUCGUGAAUUCAUCUCCGGGGGUAGAGCACUGUUUCGGCUAGGGGGCCAUCCCGGCUUACCAACCCGAUGCAAACUGCGAAUACCGGAGAAUGUUAUCACGGGAGACACACGGCGGGUGCUAACGUCCGUCGUGAAGAGGGAAACAACCCAGACCGCCAGCUAAGGUCCCAAAGUCAUAGUUAAG
rnacentral:rRNA from 1 species